CCCGCUUGUCCUUUCACGGUCGUAAGAUAAUCUCAAGUUGAUGGCAACAAAGUUUGUAUUUAAUCACGCGUCGAAUUUGUGACGAUGUGAUCCAUUCGAAGUAAACAUCGAGGAUAAGAGGUUGGAGCGGAUCAGUUUGCCGAGAAGAGUCGGAGGCAACAGUUUGAUUUUGAAAUUGCGUGAAGAAAUCUCUGCGAAGUGUGAAAGAAAUGAAUCCUGAUCAGUAUAUUCAGAAGCAAAGUUACAUUUUGCUGGAAUCGAAUGCAAUACGAUCGUAGCAACACUAAGACACACUUGGAAAACCUGAAAAACCUGAAAAACCUGAAAAACCUGGAAAACCUGAAAAACCUGAAAAACCUGGAAAACCUGGAAAACCUGGAAAACCUGGAAAACCUGGAAACCCUGGAAACCCUGGAAAACCUGGAAAAACUGGAAUUGGAAAAAAACUGAAAAUAUCAGUUUCCUAUCGUGGGAAUUGGAAACGAUUUUUCGAGAUUGCAAGAUUGAAAAAAAAGAGAAGGAAUGAAGUGUGAAAUCGUACCGCAGCGUUCCCGUGGCACACUCUGGAGUCGUGGUUAUAUUUAUCACCAGCUCAGAACGGAGGUGACAGUCAUAGUGAAAUACUUUUCCGCUGAACAUGCAGAGUCGCCUACACAGCCCGAGACAAUCCAGAUCGACUAAAGGUACUCGAUUCGUUUAAAGAAAGGCCGUUACCCGCGAUAGUAAGACGAAUGAAUGGUACAUAGUAGAAAAAAGGGGCGAGAUCCGAGUGGGCAAGAGUAAACAUGACAAGCGCCAUGUUCGGCUAGCCGGAUGAGCCAACAAUAUCUGCUCAGUAUUGGUCAAGUGCUAUGGGGAAAUAUCUCUAGGCAGAAAUGCGCAGACAGUGCGGCAUUGCGGCAGGUCUAUGCAGGGUACGGGAUUCGCGGGCUGGCUUCUUGGGGACCUGAUACGAGGAGUUACCCCAGGGUGGUUGACACCGGGGUGGAAAUCACAGUCCAUGAAUCAGUAGUGGAACAGAAAAUUAUUAACGCGCGCUGACCUACACGAGUGGGUCUCGCAAGUGCGAGGAUAUUCUGGUGAUGGUUGACAUGCUGGGAAAGAAGCAUGGAUAAUUUAGGGUGGCCCUUAAUAUUGACGGAUACUUAACGAUUGACCGUCAGCGCAGCCUCACGCGUGACCAACACCACACCCAUAUGUAUGAAUACAUGUGUAUGACGUCCAGAUUCUUACAAUGCCUAAUCAAUGAGAAACCUACUUGAACACCUUCUUUUUCUGGCGCCGUUCACCAUUAUUCAGAUUUUCAACGGCAUCAAGCAGGAAGUUGGCAACGAAUUCGGGGAAAUUGCAGAGUGGCAGACUAUCGACGAUCUCGAAGGAGGAAUGUCGAUCCUGCGGAGGGGGAGACAACGAAGAUCCUUGCAUCGCGGGAAUCCAAGACGCAAGGCCGUAGCCUCCCCACCUACCCCACCAACAGCAGACCGACGAAUUUGCGAAGGACCGACUAGCGACGAGGGAGCCCCACCCCGCUCACCGCCGAGCAUCGUAGAGCUGCGCGGCGGACGAAAUUACGAUCUAGCGUCAAGUUCUGCGUCACGAUGCUCCGACGGGUGCGCGUCGAGUUGCGCAAUCUACUAAAUCGAUGACGGAUCAAGCGUUGCGUAUCCUUGCGAGUAUGACGUCGCGUAGGCAGUAGCGUACCGAGAUCGAGAGGCGUUGCGGCAGGCCGUCGAUUUUCAAAUCACUCGAGCUCCGGCGAUUGCGAAGUAGAGACGUGAUCUGAUAGAAUUGUGAUAUCGCGGAGUUUGCUAUUGUGUUUGGAGAAAUUUGGAGCCUUCGAAAAAUCACAAGGGGGUUGGCGCUUUUGUAUGCUGGAUCUGGAACGGUAAGCGCUGCUGAUAUUCUUGCGAUCGAAUUUCGAGAGGAAUUGAGUAAAGGCUUGCCGAAUAACGGAUAGCCAUUUCGGAUUUGCGUUGUCGGAAAGUACUCGAAAUUCGUUCGCUGAUUCUUUUGCUUGGUGACCGUAGCCCGAGUUUCGCGUUAUGGAGUUGAGUAAAUGUUGCUGUGUUGCGAAUGUUAAGUAGAGUCACGGUUCCGAAUUGCGUUUUUCUCGUUUCAAAUUUCCGUACAGCCCGAAUUCCGUUGUACAAGGUCGGUUUGCGGUGCCGUGUUUUUUUGUGUCGC
rnacentral:lncRNA from 1 species